CUCAAAGUGAGUCAGAAACAGGCUGCAGUCAGAACCCAGACCUCAUGACAAAAAGGCAGGCGCUUCCUCCAUUGUAGGUGGAAGGGUCCUGGGAGUUAGUUACGUUUUGCCUUCAGGCUGUCCUGUUUUCGGGAAAGUGGAUGCCUUUGAUAAUAGCCCCAUGAUACGCAGAAGUGAGUGUGGCAUUGGGCCUGGACAACGAGGUGGUGCUCAGGGCAGAUUCAAAGAGGGGCGGAUUAAGGGGCAGAAUGAAAGAAAGACACAUGUCCGAAUGGCUCCUUUCCCCCUUGGGGAGAAUGAUUGCUUCUGUCCUCUUCUAGGCCCAGGCAGGCCCAGGCAAAUGUCACACUCAGGACCGUCACCUAUGCUGUAACUUGGGGGCUAUGGUGUCCUCUGCCACAACCCCACGGACAGCUGUACGUGCAAGCAUUCUGAGCAUCGCUCUGUCUAACACCGACCUUAGAGGUAGUCCAGGCACGUUGGGUAGCACAAGACUCUGUGCGGUUAUGUGAAGCGAAGUGGCUAUACCUUGCCCCAGAGUGAAGAAGGAAGGGGGAAAUGUGGAGCCUGAGACAGACACUCACAGAGGCCAGGUGAUGUAAAGAGACAUCCACAUCCUCAUCUGACCAUCUACAAGCUCAGAAGAGAGGUCUGGAACAGCUCCUUCCCUCACAGCCAUCAGAAGGAAUCAACUCUGCCCACAUCCUCAUCUGGGACUUCCCAGUUUCUGAACUUGGAGAAAAUAAAUUUCUGUUAUUUAAGCCACCUGGUCUGUGAUACUUUGUUACAGCAACCCUGGCAAACUAAUACAACAGGGAGGAGAAAGGCACUCAAACUUCAUGGUUCAGGAAUUGUUCUUUUAAAGGAGAGGGGUCUGGGUGUGCAGGCACACGAAA
rnacentral:lncRNA from 10 species